rnacentral:rRNA from 1 species
UGUAUUUAUUAGAUAAAAAACCAAUGCCCUUCGGGGCUUUUUGGUGAUUCAUGAUAACUUUACGGAUCGCAUAGCCUUGCGCUGGCGACGGUUCAUUCAAAUUUCUGCCCUACCAACUUUCGAUGGUAAGGUAUUGGCUUACCAUGGUUUCAACGGGUAACGGGGAAUUAGGGUUCGAUUCCGGAGAGGGAGCCUGAGAAACGGCUACCACAUCCAAGGAAGGCAGCAGGCGCGCAAAUUACCCAAUCCCGACACGGGGAGGUAGUGACAAUAAAUACUGAUACAGGGCUCUUUUGGGUCUUGUAAUUGGAAUGAGUACAAUUUAAACCUCUUAACGAGGAACAAUUGGAGGGCAAGUCUGGUGCCAGCAGCCGCGGUAAUUCCAGCUCCAAUAGCGUAUAUUAAAGUUGUUGCAGUUAAAAAGCUCGUAGUUGAAACUUGGGCCUGGCUGGCGGGUCCGCCUCACCGCGUGCACUCGUCCGGCCGGGCCUUCCUUCUGAAGAACCUCAUGCCCUUCACUGGGCGUGCUGGGGAACCAGG